rnacentral:rRNA from 1 species
AACGAACGCUGGCGGCGCGCCUAAUACAUGCAAGUCGAGCGAGAAGACGUAGCAAUACGUUUGUAAAGCGGCGAACGGGUGAGGAAUACAUGGGUAACCUACCCUCGAGUGGGGAAUAACUAGCCGAAAGGUUAGCUAAUACCGCGUACGCUCCUUGGACUUCGGUUCAGGGAGGAAAGCGAUACCGUGGGUAUCGCGCUCUUGGAUGGGCUCAUGUCCUAUCAGCUUGUUGGUGAGGUAACGGCUCACCAAGGCUUCGACGGGUAGCUGGUCUGAGAGGACGAUCAGCCACACUGGCACUGCGACACGGGCCAGACUCCUACGGGAGCAGCAGUAAGGAAUAUUGCGCAAUGGGCGAAAGCCUGACGCAGCGACGCCGCGUGGGGGAUGAAGGUCUU